UACCUCAAAAUUCCGCAACAGUCUGUUUCAUCAGUAAAGAAUCAUGAUGAUUCUUGACUGAUGAAACAGACUGUUGCGGAAUUU